GGUAUGGCAAGUCUGAUGUGAAAGGCCAGGGCUCAACCCUGGGACUGCAUUGGAAACUGUCGAACUAGAGU
rnacentral:rRNA from 1 species